UACAGAGGGGGCAAGCGUUGUUCGGAAUUACUGGGCGUAAAGGGCGCGUAGGCGGCCUUCUAAGUCGAACGUGAAAUCCCCGGGCUCAACCCGGGAACUGCGUCCGAUACUGGAAGGCUUGAAUCCGGGAGAGGGAUGCGAAAUUCCAGGUGUAGCGGUGAAAUGCGUAGAUAUCUGGAGGAACACCGGUGGCGAAGGCGGCAUCCUGGACCGGCAUUGACGCUGAGGCGCGAAAGCGUGGGGAGCAAACAGG
rnacentral:rRNA from 1 species